CGGGUGAGUAUGUAUGGGAUCUGCCUGAUGGCGGGGGAUAACUACUGGAAACGGUAGCUAAUACCGCAUAACGUCGCAAGACCAAAGAGGGGGACCGUUCGGGCCUCUUGCCAUCGGAUGUGCCCAGAUGGGAUUAGCUAGUAGGUGGGGUAACGGCUCACCUAGGCGACGAUCCCUAGCUGGUCUGAGAGGAUGACCAGCCACACUGGAACUGAGACACGGUCCAG
rnacentral:rRNA from 1 species